CCUACGGGAGGCAGCAGUGGGGAAUCUUGCGCAAUGGGCGAAAGCCUGACGCAGCCAUGCCGCGUGAAUGAUGAAGGUCUUAGGAUUGUAAAAUUCUUUCACCGGGGACGAUAAUGACGGUACCCGGAGAAGAAGCCCCGGCUAACUUCGUGCCAGCAGCCGCGGUAAUACGAAGGGGGCUAGCGUUGCUCGGAAUUACUGGGCGUAAAGGGAGCGUAGGCGGAUAGUUUAGUCAGAGGUGAAAGCCCAGGGCUCAACCUUGGAAUUGCCUUUGAUACUGGCUAUCUUGAGUACGGAAGAGGUAUGUGGAACUCCGAGUGUAGAGGUGAAAUUCGUAGAUAUUCGGAAGAACACCAGUGGCGAAGGCGACAUACUGGUCCGUUACUGACGCUGAGGCUCGAAAGCGUGGGGAGCAAACAGGAUUAGAUACCCUAGUAGUC
rnacentral:rRNA from 1 species